rnacentral:rRNA from 1 species
UACGGGGGGAGCAAGCGUUGUUCGGAUUUACUGGGCGUAAAGGGCGCGUAGGCGGUCGUGACAAGUCACUUGUGAAAUCCCCAGGCUUAACUUGGGAACUGCAUCCGAUACUGGAUGGCUUGAAUUCGGGAGAGGGAUGCAGAAUUCCAGGUGUAGCGGUGAAAUGCGUAGAUAUCUGGAGGAAUACCGGUGGCGAAGGCGGCAUCCUGGACCGAGAUUGACGCUGAACGGCGAAAGCUAGGGGAGCAAACGGG